CUACGGGGUGCACCAGUGAGGAAUAUUGCACAAUGGGGGGAACCCUGAUGCAGCAACGCCGCGUGGAGGAUGACGCAUUUCGGUGUGUAAACUCCUUUUAUAUGUCAAGAAAAUGACGGUAGCAUAUGAAUAAGCACCGGCUAACUCCGUGCCAGCAGCCGCGGUAAUACGGAGGGUGCAAGCGUUACUCGGAAUCACUGGGCGUAAAGGAGGCGUAGGCGGGCUUGUAAGUCAGGUGUGAAAUCCUACAGCUUAACUGUAGAACUGCACUUGAAACUACGAGCCUAGAGUAUGGGAGGGGCAGAUGGAAUUGGUGGUGUAGGGGUAAAAUCCGUAGAUAUCACUAGGAAUACCUAAAGCGAAGGCGAUCUGCUGGAACAUAACUGACGCUAAGGCGUGAAAGCGUGGGGAGCAAACAGGAUUAGAUACCCCUGUAGUC
rnacentral:rRNA from 1 species